rnacentral:misc_RNA from 1 species
UCCUAUUCGUCCUCUUCAUGGCUACCAUGGUUAUUAUGAUCAUCGCCAUGAUGGUCAUGAUGGUCAUGAUGGUCAUGAUGGUCAUGAUGGUCAUGA